GAUGAACGCUAGCGGCAGGCUUAAUACAUGCAAGUCGAGGGGCAUCAAGGUACACGAAAGUGUAUUGUUGGCGACCGGCGGACGGGUGAGUAAUAGGUAGGUAACCUACCUCAUACUGAGGCAUAGCUGGGAGAAAUUCCAGGUAAUUCCUCAUGAGGUUAUAUGACACAUGUGAUAUAAUCAAAGGUAUCGCAAGGUACUGGUAUGAGAUGGGCUUACUGACCAUUAGCUAGUUGGUGAGAUAAGAGCUCACCAAGGCGAAGAUGGUUAGGGGUUUUGAGAGAGAGAUCCCCCAAUUGGAACUGAGAUACGGUCCAGACUCCUACGGGAGGCAGCAGUAGGGAAUAUUGGGCAAUGGGCGGAAGCCUGACCCAGCCAUGCCGCGUGAAGGAAGACGGCCUUAAUCGGGUUGUAAACUUCUUUACUAUGCGACUAACUAGAUUUACGAGAUAAUUCUAUAGAAUGUAGCAUAGACAAAAGCACCGGA
rnacentral:rRNA from 1 species